GGCACCAGAUGCACUGUCACUGUGAAAGAUUUAUCUCAGUGUUGCUGAGCUGGGCUAUUGCUUGGUAGAGCCUGCCUCUGCCGAGGUGCCAUUUAAUAGCCAUCCAGACCUCUACAUGAAACAGGUUCAAGAGAAUGGGAAGUUAUCUGGAGUAGGAAAAAGGACAGUGACAGAGAUUGGGCUUCCCUGUGCUUAACUGCCCUGAGGUGGAGUUGAGGCCUAGAUGCCCAGCAGUGCCACCUUAGACCUGAGCCCUGCGGCCGUCACCGCCCCCAAGCGAAAGUUGUGGAAGGAAAAAAAAUCACUUCUCCUCAGGAAGGUGGAAAAGCAGGGUGAAGGAACAGAGGACUGCAAUUGCAGCCCAGGUGUGCAUGCAGGGCAGCUGGAGCUGAGGGCUGGUGGUGUGCACCUGUUGGCUGGGGAAGCUCUCCUGGGCUGUCUGGUGGAUGCUGCAUAGUCUGCUCUUAAAGGUCUUCCUUAAAGAACUGUCUCUUCUCAACUCCGUACAACAUCCAGCACAAUGGGAUUUGAAGCAUGAGCAGGACCAAAGGAGAUAUAACAUCUGCCCAUCAGCCUUGUCUAUAUUCUUAUCGUGCCAUGGAUAAACGGGAAAUCUUGCAAGAUUUUUUUUUGCCUUAAAAAUUGCUGUGUACUAAAAAAAAAAUAUGGUGUGAUGUGUGUCUUAUGUACUGAUCUUGUUGUCAACUUUUAAAAGUAUUUGUGUCUAUCUGCUUGGACCCAUCUAAAUGCAUUUACUUAGCUGAAAAAUUGUACGGCCAAUUCUUAGUAAGAGUGAUGUUGGUAGAUACCAUUUAAAUAUUUCACAAUAUUGCAAUCGAAAUAAAUUGUGAGCCUUUUAUCCUUUUGAGUACUUCAAAGCUUGGUUGUCUGUAUCCUACCUACCCUUUCUUUUCUGAGAUAACCCAAUCUUAAUGGGGGACUGUAUUUUGAUGGUAUUUCUGGUAUACUUAAGAUC